UAAUAUCGACACAUGUCAUGCUUUUAGUGGCUCAUUUCAUUUAACUUGAAUUGCCACAUAAUAUUGAUACAUGUCAUAUUUUUAGUGACUCAUUUCAUUUAACUUGGAUGGCCACAUAAUAUUGACACAUGUCAUGGGUUUGGACUUUUAAGCUAGGCUAGCGCCCAUUUGAGCUUUGGGUUAAUAAAUAUGGGCUCAUCAUUUCAAUUGAAUUAGCCCAAUGAAUUCGAGAUUAGAUGAUUAACCCAAUCAUAUUAGUCACGUUAUUUGGACUAUUUUCUUGAAUUUAAUAUAGUUCAAAUAAAUAUAUGAAUUUAAAUUUAAUAAAAGUUCAAUUCUCACAAUAUGAACCAUGAGUUAAGCAGCCAAAUUUGAGUAUUUUGUUCCUCAACUUGCUCCUUCUCUUCUACUGGUAGUAGCAUCUGAAAUUAAGGGAGAAGUUGAUCAUUUUGAAUUAUUUGGUUUUUAUGUUAUGUUUGUUGUUGUUUAUGGGUACACCGUGUUGUGGCCUUUGAUAGUUUUUGGUAAUCCUCGUAAAAGUACAUUGUAUUGUUGAAAAAUCGAUGUGCAUAAACUUUUCUAUUAUAUGAGUAGGAAGUGUUCAUUAUGCAUUUUAUCUUGUGUUCAGGUGCUCUAUGAAAUAUGUCAUACUUCAAAGUUUCUAAGUGAAAUUUACUUAGAAGUUAAAGCAAUUAUGGAUAAACAUGCAGAAAAAUAUUAAAACCCAAAUUGAAAAUGAAUUUUUUUUUCUUCUCCAACAAUGAAGCUGCAAGUCUGAACAGUAACUCAUCAAACCAAUUGGUUUAAUUUCUAUGAUUCCCUUGUAAUUAACAAUGAAUAAAGAAUAAAAUUAGUAUGUGUCUGUGUAAGACGAAUUUGCCUCUAGCAUACAGUUUAAAGAAUGAAUUAAAUUAGUAUUGUCCAAUAAUCCUCUUCGACAAAAAUAACCCCAUCAUCGUUGAUGAGCCCCGGGUUGCGUCGCCUCUAGAAACACCAUAAUUAUGAUGGUGGAGAUUGCGGUCAUCAGUGUAUUGCUGUUCAUCAAGUUUGUUGGGAGUAGGAGGAUGAUAGUACAUUCGCGAUGUUUGAGGACAGUGAGAAUUGAAUCUAGCGACAAUUCUAAUUCCUGCAUCAAAUAACUCCACGUACUUCGCCAUUUCUCAAUCUUCUCUUGGUUUCUCUAUAGAAAAGCCACUUGAUUUUAAUAUUUUUGAAAAGAAUGUAGGAUUCGAAUUUUGAAGGUUAAUUUGAGAGAAAUGGAAUGAGCCUUCUGGUCUUUUAUAGUUCUCUUUUGGUUUGACCAUUUGUCUUUCCCUGAG
rnacentral:lncRNA from 1 species